UGAAUGCCAAUUUUCGAUUGCCUAUGGAAAACAGAGUGUAUAGUAUUGGAACAGAGGGAUUCAAUAUAAUUAACUGUAUUUACAGUCAAAUAUUUAUUAAUAUGUUAAUAAAUAUAUAGAAUUUGAACGAAAGCUAUUUGGUUCACAAUGAAGUGAAUCAUUGAAGUUUUUGGUCCCUGUCCAGAGCUUAAUGGACUAUCUAGUAGAUGAAGAGUUUUGGUUUUUUUUUCCCAUCUUUUUGGGUCUCUGUAAAUGCCUUCCAAAUAUUAAAAUAUAUUAUUUUUCGUAUAAUUGGAUGAUCUGAGUGAUUUUAUUUGUGUUGUCAAAUUCAUUUGAAUUUAAUAUUUUUAAUAUAGAGUAUCAAUUUAAUGUGUAAAAGUUUACUAGAACUGCAACAAAUAAUAAACUUUAGCUCAUUGCUUCAAAAAUAUAUAACGUUCAAUGAUGAUAACUUUAAAAGUUUACUACGUAAAAUUUAUAUUUUGAAUCCAAACUAAAUAAGACCACGAAAUUACAAUGCAGGGGUAUUAAUUUUCCUUAUACUAAGAUCAGAUUAGUACAAGCUGUUUAUUUUGGAUUAUUUAAUUUUCAUAUAUAAUCUACUUCGAGAAGCACAAUUAGUGUGUGAUUAAUUGUUUUUGUUGAUCAAAUGUUUUGAAAAGUGGAAUUUUUAGAAAAUUAAAGUAUUGUUUUGAAUGUGACUAUUUUAGCUAUGUUUGCUAAAAUAUACUCAAAGCAAUCGAAGAAAAUUUUUAUUAUGAGGAUCCAUUGACAAGUUGACAUGUGGAUUGUGGGGGGGAGGGGGGCACAAGUUGUCCUUUAAAGCUGCAACUAAAAUCAAAGAGGAGAGAGUGUAAAGUUUAAUUGGAAAUUGAAAAAAUAUUGUGGGGUUCGCGUCAAAUACAAUUAAAUAAACUAAAAUGAUGUAUUCAAAAUAGAAAAGUGCACAAUAAAAAAGUAAUGAAACGAACCAAAAGUUAUUUUAUACGUAUAUUGAAAUUUUCUGAUUAAAACUAUUUUAAUAAAAAUGUCAAUUAAUAUUUAUUUUAAUAAAAAUGUCAAAUAAGAUAUUAAUGCCCAGAUUGAAGUUUCAUUGAUUUACUAUUUCUAAAAAUAAAUAUAAAAUUCAACAUAUUUAGCAUAAACUUUGUACGAUUUAAUAAAAGUGUAAUAAGUAGAAAUUUGACUGUUCUGCUCCAAAUUAAAAUGAAAUUCGUACUAUAUAAUGUUGUUAUAUAUCUAACACCAUUUAGAUAAAAGAAAUACUCUAAUAAUAUGAUUGUUAUAUCAUAGGAUAGUUUUUAAAAUUUUCACUUUGUUACACAUUUCAAGUCUUUUCUCAGUCCAUAUAUCAAAUAUCCAUUUUUAAAAGUAACACGAGUUUGAAAAAAAAAAAUAUACAUAAAUCUUAUUUUAUCUUGUAAUAUAGAAUCAUUUUUAAAAGUAACACAAAUUUGAAGAGAUCAAAGUGUAUGUAAAUACUAUUUUAUCUUGUAACAUAGAAAUAAUGUUUUUUUUAUAUAAAUCCUUAAUUAAACAAGUUAAAUAAAUGUGUAUAAAACAUAAAAUAAAAAUAUAGGUCAGCUGAUAAUAUGACUUCUCAUUCCCUGCAUUACUAUUUUAAUGUGUAUUUUUCCAUUUUCAAUACAUCAUUGUAGUUUAUUUAAUUGUAUUUGAUAUGGACCCCACGAUUUUCUUUCCGUUUUCAAUUAAACUCUACACCCUCUCUCCUCUUUGGUUUUAAUUGCAGUUUUAAAGGACAAUCUAUCCCCCACAAUCCACAUGUCAACUAGUUAAUAGAAUUUCAUACAAGUUUUUGUUGGUUGUACCUCUGACUUCUAUCCGUUCGACUUUUUUCUCUUCUUGCCUUUGGUAGGAGCUUCUUCAACAAUAUUAACUUCAAUUAUUGUCGAACUCUAACGAGACUUCUUUUCGGCGAUUCUAUUAUAUUCCUCAAUCUUGAGCCGAAUCACAAAAUUUUCAAGUUUCAUUUCCUUACGUUUGUGCUUUAAAUAAUUCUUGAAGUCGUUCCACGAAGGAGGUAACUUCUCGAUCAUUGCAACCACUUGAAAAGCUUCAUUUACAAACAUAUCCUCAGCAUUCAGAUUAUGGAAAAUAAGUUGAAGUUCUUGCACUUGUGAUUCAACAGUUUUACUAGUUGACAUUUUAUAGUCUAAAAACUUUGCGACCACAAACUUUUUCAAGCAUGCAUCUUUUGUCUUAUAUUUCUUCUAAGGUGCAUCCCACAAUUCUUUCAAAGUUGUCAUUGCACUAUACAUAUUAUAUAAGUCAUCCUCUAAAGCACUCAGAAUGUAGCCCUUACAUAGGAAGUCUGUCUGUUUUCAUGCUUCAAUAAUCAUGAAUUUUUCUUUGUCUAACAUUUCAGCAGCAGGCACUGGAGUUUCUUUACUGGUAAAUUUCUACAGACAAAGAGUGCUAAGCCAGAAAAAUACCCGUUGCUGCCAUCCUUUGAAAUUCAUACCAGAGAAUUUUCCCGAUUUCUCUGUUGGUGGUAUAACAAUUCGGGUUGGUGCAGCAACAACCACUGUUACAUUGUUGUUUGCCAUUUCUGAUAAACAAAAAUCGAUACAAACUUAGUAAGCAAUAACUUAAAUUGCAAACUUAAUAGGAGUAUAAAACUACAAAGGAUUUUGUCUCCACCAAAAACACAGAUUAAAAAUAAAUAACUAAUUUCCUUAAGAUUGUUGCCAAUCUGUGUUUAAAAAACAGUAAUACUGAUUACCAAAAACUUUGAAGAAACACGAAGUUACCAAAGUUUCCAAUGAACCAGUGAAGAAAAGAAGAACAUAAAUUAAUUCACAAAAAAUUAAAAUCUGUAAAACAUACCAGAAUCUGGAAAAGACAAAACGAAAAAAGAUCAAGUCUACUGAAUGCACAAUGUCCCCUUAAGGAAAUUAUUCCUCUCUAGUAUCUGAGGUUUGAUUUGGAAUAUAUCCUCCUAAGAUAGAAUGAUCUCAAUCACCAGUAUAUUGAUACCCAAAACGCGAGCCACUCAACGGUAGUAAAUUACACGAAAAAUAUUUAUGCAAAAGAAGAAGAAGAAAUCAGAAAUUUUCGUAAGUAAAAAGUCUGAAGAAUAACUGGUAUUUAUAGCCAAGAGGAACUGAUUCCGAAAGGUUGCAACCUUUCAGAAACCACACGACCAUUUCAGAAAGUUUGCAACCUUUCAAACGGCCAUGGCUGUUCCUGAAAGUUGCAACCUUUCAGAACAGUCAUCUCCAACGGUGGGAAAUUCAAAUAAAAUGGGAAAGUAAUUUAAAUAAAACCGGUCAUGCGGAUCCGAGUCGGAUCGGAACGUUUCGGUUAAUUAACUAAUUAAUUGAAACGUUUUGGCCAUUUAAUUUUAAAUAAAUAAGUAAAACAAAACUUUAUCCAAAAAAUAAUCUCUGAAUCAUUUUCCAAAGCCGAGCGAGCGACGACGACGGCGCGAGGAGGGUCCCUCUUCCCAACCAUUUUAACAAUUAAUAGAAAUGUUUCUCUAUUUAAAUUCUUCUAUUUUUCUUUUCACCACCGAUGAGGGAGAAAAGCCUUUUUACUAAAGCAUAAGAGGACUUUUCAAGUUCCUCUCUUUUCAUCUUCCCUCCAUUUUCCAUUAACUCUUGUUAUAUACCCAACAAUAUAUACGUCCAAGAAACUUAAAUGAUUAUUAGAAGAAAAUAUGAAAAAUAGGAUGAACGUACGAUUGCAAUCCUCAUUUAAUUAGAUAGAACAUUGAUUAUCUUAGAAAUGAAAGCAAUAUGGAUUUAAACCACAAAAAAAAAGUAUUAUGUCAACACAAAUAAUAGUAUCCAUAUAGGUGGUGGACAACUAUCUUCUUAUAAAUUUUAACAAUUCUCAUUUCGUAAAUUAAUUUUUGAAGUUUAAUUAAGUUUAAUAUUAGACGAGAGGGAGUUGCUCGGAUGGUAAGCACCCCUCACUUUCAAUCUGAAGGUUGCGAGUUCGGGUCACCAAGGAAGCAAAAGGGGUGGGAGCUCCUAGGGAGGGUUAAAAAAUAAAAUAAUAAUAAUAAUAAUAAUAUUAGAGUUAGAUUCAUCUCAAUUCUGUUCGAUGCUAGAUCCCAGAUCAUAUUAUGGUGUACACGUAAUAAUCCAAUCUAUGAGUAUAGGAUUGUUAAUAUGUAGUUCAUAACGAUUAAUUUUUAUUUCCUACUUAGUCACGUCUCAUUAUUUAUAAAGAAAUUAGUUAUAACUGGAGAUAACCAAUACUCGACAAUUCAUUUGAACCCGUUUUUCAUGAGCUAUACAAUGGUUUAAACGUAUAGUACUUACGGCGCCGAAACAAGAAAAUUGAUGCGCCUUAGUACUUGCCAAGCAAGAAAGGGGAAGAUGAUGACUUGGUUCGUUUCUAAAUAUCCAAAUUGUAGGAUGACUUAUUGACUUUUUGGGACCCCAUUUAUUGGAACCAAAUUUAGAGGAUAUAUUACUUCGUCAAUUUAGUUUGUUUUUAUUUUAUUAUUCUAAUGGAAUUUAAGAAAAUAAAAUUUAGAACUAAAAGUGUCACAAAGGGGAUUUUUUAAAACGAUUUUUAAAGAAAAAGUAAGAUAAAUAAAUUUUAAAAAAAAAAAUACCUGAAUUUUGUAAUCUAUUUGUUUUAAUUUAUUGUUUUAUUUUGACUAGAUAUAAAAUUUCAAAAAAAAUAAAAGAAUUUUUUAAUCAUUUAAUUUUAAAUUAAAAUAUGUAUUAAAAUAUAUUUUGAAUCUUAUAAGAUGAAAAAUAAAAUACUUGAAUUAAAAUAAAUGGAGUAAUAAAUUUUAUCCAAACAUAUAUUGGUUCCGUCUUAAUUUACGUGAUACUACUAUUUAAUUUGACGCAAAUUUAAGAAUUAAAAGAAAUAUUUUUAAAAUUUAUGGUCUAAACGAUGACUACUAUUCAUGUGGUUACAAAUCUAAAAGGUAAGUGUGUCAUGCAAAUUGAGACGGAAGAGUACUCCCUUCGUCCAACAAUAGUUGUGCAUUAUACUAUUUUGGGAUGUCCAAAAAUAUUUGUCCACUUUAUGAAAUAAUGAAUAAUUUUACACUUAUUCCUAAUUUCUGUUCAUUUUCUCCAAAUUUUAGCUUGGAUUGGAGACACAUGUCAUAGUUUAGAAUUAAUAGUUGAGAUCUAAUUAAUUAAAACAAAGUUUUAACCAUAGUUAUUUACUUUCAUAUAUUUGCUUCUUAAAUAAUUUUGCAAUCCAACAAUUCUAGAUUUACAUUAUAUUUUUCCUAAAUAUAUAUUUUUUAAAUUUCUUUUCUUAAUUACUUGAGUAAUAUUUUGCUGAUUUUUUUUACUUUUUUCCCUGACGAUUGUCAUUUCUCAAAUAAUAUUUGUCAAAUAAAAAAUUAAAAAUUGCGACCUAAUUUUUUUUAAAAAAAAUUAUGAGUAAAAUAAAUUUUGUCACUCAACUUUAAAUUAUUUUUUACUCCCUAAAUGGAGUCCAUAUUACUCUAUAGACAUUGUAGCUCUUAAUACUCUAUUAGAAUAAUAAAAUCGUUUAACUGUAUUAUAAUUUUUUUCAAUAAAGUAAAAAUAUUUAGUAAAAGUUUAAAAUAUGUAGGCAGGGCAGUAAAGAAAAGUUUUUAAUAUAUUUAGUGAAACUAUAAUGGAUUGCCAAAAUAUUUAAGAAUCAAAUAUAUGAAAGUAAAUAACUAUGGUUAGGACUUUGUUUUAAUCAAUCAUAUCUCAACCAUUAAAUCUAACUAUGACAUGUGUUUCCAAUUCAAGCUAGAACUUGAGGAAAAUGAAGAGAAGAGAAAUUGAGAAUAACCGAAUCCGUAUUUAUUAUAUUCAAAAAGUGAUAUAAUAAAAUUAUCCUUCUUUUUAAAGUUUAUUAAGAAAUGUGCAAAAUUAAUAGUGGAUUAAAUAUUGUUAGACACGGUAUAUUUUAAACAAUCAUUUUAUUUUUAUGGAUUCAGACGAUGAAAACUAAGUCAACUUUAUAACGUGCGGAGUUUGACGGAUGACUGAAUCAUUCUUCUUCAACACGCGUUAUUUCAAAUAAAUACUGUUCUUACAACUCUAUAAAUAGAGAAGAAUAUACAAAUACUCCUCACUGCAAUUUCUCAGCAUUUCAAAUAUUCCUCUCUUUUACUCUCUCUGCCUACUCAAUUAUACUCCUAACCAAACUUUAAUUCCCCAUCAAACAAACAAAAUGAAGGUAUACAAAUUAAUUUAAAUGUAAUUUUAAAUUUUUUUUAAGUAUAUGAUUCAACUCUUAUCUAUUAACAAAUGUUGUUAAAUUUGUGCAGCAAAAAGUUGUUAUCAGACUAUCUUUGAAUGGAAACAAUCAGAAAUAUCGAACCAAGGCCUUCAAGAUUGCUGUUUCUCAAUCAGGUAAUUUCAAUCAAAUGUAUCGAAUAAAGUCUCAUAUUGAUGUUAAUUAAAAAAAAUCGUGUGAAUUUGGCUCAAAGCUGAUUAUAUAUGUAUUGUUAAUUUUUGUUACUUAGGUGUGGAAUCAGCAGCUAUAACAGGGGACGGAAAGAACCAAUUGGAAGUUGUGGGAGAAGUAGACGCGGCGACUCUAACGAGCUUAUUGAGGAAGAAUUUGGGUCAGGCGGACUUGGUGAGCGUUGGCCCGGCUGGUGGUGGCCCCGCAGCUGCAGCUCCAGCUCCAGCCGUAGCUGCAGCUGCGAUGGUUCAGUCACAACCUGGCUCGUAUUAUUAUGCCUAUCCGUCUUAUCAAUACCCAGUUUACCAAGUUACAGAUUCCUAUGGCGAAUCCAAUUGUUCCAUUAUGUGAAUGACAAUUUUCGGUUGCCUAUGGAAAACAGAGUGUAUAGUAUUGGAAUAGAGGGAUUCAAUAUAAUUAACUGUAUUCACAGUCAAAUAUUUAUUGAUAUGUUAAUAGAUAGGGCUAUAGAGUUUGAGCGAAAGCUAUUUGGUUCACGUGAACUUGUAUGGUGUAUCAUUGAAGUUUUUGGUCCCUGUCCAGAGAGCUUAAUGGACUAUCUAGUAGAUGAAGAGUUUUGGUUUUUUUUUCCCCAUCUUUUUGGGUCUUUGUACAUGCCUUUCAAAUAUUAAAAUAUAUGAUUUUUCGUAUAAUUGGAUGAU
rnacentral:lncRNA from 1 species